rnacentral:rRNA from 1 species
UACGUAGGGGGCAAGCGUUGUCCGGAUUUAUUGGGCGUAAAGAGCGUGUAGGCGGCUUUGCAAGUCCGUUGUGAAAACUCGAGGCUCAACCUCGAGACGCCGGUGGAAACUGCAAAGCUAGAGUCCGGAAGAGGAGAGUGGAAUUCCUGGUGUAGCGGUGAAAUGCGCAGAUAUCAGGAAGAACACCCGUGGCGAAGGCGGCUCUCUGGGCCGAUACUGACGCUGAGGAGCGAAAGCGUGGGGAGCGAACAGG